rnacentral:rRNA from 1 species
GACGAACGCUGGCGGCGUGCUUAACACAUGCAAGUCGAACGGUAAGGCCCUUCGGGGUACACGAGUGGCGAACGGGUGAGUAACACGUGGGUGAUCUGCCCUGCACUUCGGGAUAAGCCUGGGAAACUGGGUCUAAUACCGGAUAGGACCACUGCCUGCAUGGGGGGUGGUGGAAAGCUUUUGCGGUGUGGGAUGGGCCCGCGGCCUAUCAGCUUGUUGGUGGGGUGAUGGCGUACCAAGGCGAAGACGGGUAGCCGGCCUGAGAGGGUGACCGGCCACACUGGGACUGAGAUACGGCCCAGACUCCUACGGGAGGCAGCAGUGGGGAAUAUUGCACAAUGGGCGCAAGCCUGAUGCAGCGACGCCGCGUGAGGGAUGACGGCCUUCGGGUUGUAAACCUCUUUCAGCACCGACGAAGCGCAAGUGACGGUAGGUGCAGAAGAAGGACCGGCCAACUACGUGCCAGCCGCCGCGGUAAGAC